GCGAUCUGAAACAAUGGCCUCAGCACCCGAAGAGGUAGGGAUAAGUUGACCAGACGUCCCGUAUUUCCCGGGAGUCACAAUUCGUUGUCGAUUAACUUAAAGUUAGUGAUAGGCGGAAUCGUGCUGAUAGAAGUGCUGUCUCUCGAGCACGCUCCACUUCUUCAGUUCUCAUAUACAGCGCGCGAUCAGUUCUCAGUGCUCAAAUACACACACAGCAGUCCUAAUGUCUAUAGUGUAGAGUAUCUCACAUUCGGUUAUGGAUUAAGUUAACAUAAACAGGUGGGUGAAAACUGAACGUGUAUCAG